AGAACGAACGCUGGCGGCAUGCCUAACACAUGCAAGUCGAACGAGACCUUCGGGUCUAGUGGCGCACGGGUGCGUAACGCGUGGGAAUCUGCCCUUAGGUACGGAAUAACUCAGGGAAACUUGUGCUAAUACCGUAUGAUGUCGAGAGACCAAAGAUUUAUCGCCUAGGGAUGAGCCCGCGUAGGAUUAGCUAGUUGGUGGGGUAAAGGCCUACCAAGGCUACGAUCCUUAGCUGGUCUGAGAGGAUGAUCAGCCACACUGGGACUGAGACACGGCCCAGACUCCUACGGGAGGCAGCAGUGGGGAAUAUUGGACAAUGGGCGAAAGCCUGAUCCAGCAAUGCCGCGUGAGUGAAGAAGGCCUUCGGGUUGUAAAGCUCUUUUACCCGGGAAGAUAAUGACUGUACCGGGAGAAUAAGCCCGGCUAACUCCGCGCCAGCAGCCGC
rnacentral:rRNA from 1 species